CCUCCAUAAAUUGCCCCUAGUGUGUAGGAAGUGGAUGCAAAAGCGGGAUAGUGUAGAACUAGUUAAACAGGUGAUCAAUGGUCGGCGUGGACUCGCUGGGCCUGUUUCCACCCUGUAU